rnacentral:lncRNA from 1 species
GCUGUAUUUUAAUGGACAAGAUAUGUUUUAUAGUGCUGUCUUGAGUCUAUUCAAGUUUUUUAUAUUGAUCAUACAUUAUUUAUUAGAAUGGGUUAAAAUAUUUCUCUAAAAUGGUCAUUGACAUUUUUAAUUUUCACUAAAAUGGGUUAAAUGUCUGGUGCUUAAAAGGCUACUUCUUUGGCGCUAAAACAUCAGAUUCCCUGUG